rnacentral:rRNA from 1 species
CUGCUGCCUUCCGUAGGAGUCUGGUCCGUGUCUCAGUACCAGUGUGGGGGACCUUCCUCUCAGAACCCCUACGCAUCGUCGCCUUGGUGGGCCGUUACCCCGCCAACAGCUAACNCG